GAUGAACGCUAGCUACAGGCUUAACACAUGCAAGUCGUGGGGCAGCGGAUGCUUAGCUUGCUAAGUAUGCCGGCGACCGGCGCACGGGUGAGUAACGCGUACCGAACCUGCCCAUCACACAGGGAUAGGCUUGCGAAAGCAAGAUUAAUACCUGAUGGUCUCAGUUGUAUGCAUGUAUGAUUGAGUAAAGCCUUCGGGCGGUGAUGGAUGGCGGUGCGUCCCAUUAGGAAGUUGGCGGGGUAACGGCCCACCAAUCCUUCGAUGGGUAGGGGUUCUGAGAGGAAGGUCCCCCACAUUGGAACUGAGAUACGGUCCAAACUCCUACGGGAGGCAGCAGUGAGGAAUAUUGGUCAAUGGGCGAGAGCCUGAACCAGCCAAGUAGCGUGCGGGAUGAAGGCCCUUGUGGUCGUAAACCGCUUUUAUCAGUGAAUAAAGUGCACCACGUGUGGUGUCAUUGCAGGUAGCUGAAGAAAAAGGACCGGCUAAUUCCGUGCCAGCAGCCGCGGUAAUACGGAAGGUCCGGGCGUUAUCCGGAAUUAUUAGGUUUAAAGGGAGCGCAGGCGGGAGUGUAAGUCAGCUGUUAAAUAUCAGGGCCCAACUCUGUUAUGCAGUUGAAACUAUAUUUCUUGAGUACGCACAGGGAUGGCGGAAUUCAGGGUGUAGCGGUGAAAUGCUUAGAUAUCCUGAAGAACUCCGAUCGCGAAGGCAGCCAUCCGGAGCGUAACUGACGCUGAGGCUCGAAGGUGCGGGUAUCGAACAGG
rnacentral:rRNA from 1 species